AGUGAACGCUGGCGGUAGGCCUAACACAUGCCAGUCGAACGGCAGCACAGUAAGAGCUUGCUCUUACGGGUGGCGAGUGGCGGACGGGUGAGGCAUACAUCGGAAUCUACUUUUUCGUGGGGGAUAACGUAGGGAAACUUACGCUAAUACCGCAUACGACCUACGGGUGAAAGCAGGGGAUCUUCGGACCUUGCGCGAUUGAAUGAGCCGAUGUCGGAUUAGCUAGUUGGCGGGGUAAAGGCCCACCAAGGCGACGAUCCGUAGCUGGUCUGAGAGGAUGAUCAGCCACACUGGAACUGAGACACGGUCCAGACUCCUACGGGAGGCAGCAGUGGGGAAUAUUGGACAAUGGGCGCAAGCCUGAUCCAGCCAUACUGCGUGGGUGAAGAAGGCCUUCGGGUUGUAAAGCCCUUUUGUUGGGAAAGAAAAGCAGCAGGUUAAUACCCCGCUGUUCUGACGGUACCCAAAGAAUAAGCACCGGCUAACUUCGUG
rnacentral:rRNA from 1 species